AGAAUAGACUACCCCGGUAGUCCACGCUCGUAAACGAUGCGAACUGGAUGUUGGGUACAUUACGGUACUCAGUGUCGAAGCUAACGCGUUAAGUUCGCCGCCUGGGGAGUACGGUCGCAAGACUGAAACUCAAAGGAAUUGACGGGGGCCCGCACAAGCGGUGGAGUAUGUGGUUUAAUUCGAUGCAACGCGAAGAACCUUACCUGGCCUUGACAUCUGUCGAAUCCUGCAGAGAUGCGGGAGUGCCGCAAGGAACGACAAGACAGGUGCUGCAUGGCUGUCGUCAGCUCGUGUCGUGAGAUGUUGGGUUAAGUCCCGCAACGAGCGCAACCCUUAUCCUUAGUUGCCAGCACGUAAUGGUGGGAACUCUAAGGAGACUGCCGGUGACAAACCGGAGGAAGGUGGGGGAUGACGUCAAGUCCUCAUGGCCCCUUACGGCCAGGGCUACACACGUACUACAAUGGUCGGUACAGAGGGUUGCGAAGCCGCGAGGUGGAGCCAAUCCCAGAAAGCCGAUCCCAGUCCGGAUUGGAGU
rnacentral:rRNA from 1 species